rnacentral:lncRNA from 1 species
CUCAUGGUGUUGUGCUACGCGCGUGCUCUGCAGCCCCUCCUCCACGGUCUCGUACAGGAAGGACCAGGGCGAGUCGUGGUUACUAACGUGUGUGGGUGCGGAUGUGGGUAAGAUUUUCAUUGAUUUCUUCUCAGUUGGAAACUGUCCAGCCAGUAUUGAUUUCACGUUUCAAUUUUCUUGUUGUUUUCACUGAAUGAAUUAUAGGAACACACCUAUCAUAUGCCCUAGCGGUGUAGGCCUGAACACAUGUCAUAUGUUGGAGUAGAUGCAAGUAUAUGAAUGAUGAAUGGGUGCUGCCUUAAAUCAUCAGCACAUUAGUGGUGCCCGAUCAAAGUCAAACGCUCGCCCUGGACAGCCUGUUCGCCAAAGUUGUUACGCCGAGCUGUAGCUGCUGGGCGCCCAUCUAGGCGCUCUGCUAGGUGUGGCGUCACUCCUGUUCCCGGCAACAGGUACUUCUCUACCCGUCAAUUACAAAUCCAUCCAUCCAACUUCAAUUUUGAUAUAUUUGAUGUAUAAUGCAUAAUGAAUCUUACUUAUGUUGAAAAACUUAGACAUAUAAGAAUGUCUGCAAGCAAACCAUGUACCACACAUUUUAGAAGGUUUAUUUUUCUACAUUUCUAUUUUUUUCAACAUAUGUACUAGCUAUGUAUCAAUAAGUAUUUCUACAUUUUUUAUUUGAUACCAAAUUUUAAGGAACGUUAAUCUGAUGUAUUUUUACAGUAAUCAGCAUGUUGACUUGACGCUUGCCUGUUCGCAACAUACCUUGGUAUUGUCGAAGAGUUGAAUGAUUGUAAAGCGGAUAUACCAUUAAUGACAAUGGUGUGGAUGGAUUACCAC